CUGCUGUAGCAAAUUGGCUCAAAUUAAGAUCCUACACAUCUGUAUUCCUGUAAAGGUUAAAUAAAAAAUAAAAUCCUCAUUUAGAGCCAAUAGUAGUGGACUACAUAGGGAAUAGAGUAUAAUUUAAGACCUAGCCUUUGUAAGGUCUAUGCUAUAACAGUGUACCCACUAACACACUCCAGUCAUUGUAACAGUCCAGUGCUGUACACAUUACUAUUUGUCUACACGUGAGGAUGUGUCAGUUCUGAGGGGAGAAAGAGGGGCCAUUUACAGAGUUAAAGACUAAAGCGUUUGCUCAACUUGGAUUAAGAUUUAAACUUACUUUUUUUUUAACAGGCACCAAAAAGCUCCAAAACAAAAACUAUUCCUCCUGAUAUUUCAACCUGUUAUUAUUCUGCUCUGCUUUAUAUAAGAUACUAUUAAUGAUUGUACUGUUGUUAUUACUACUGGUCAGUACCAUUAUGGUCUACAGGGGACAGAUAUUAUUACUACUGGUCAGUACCAUUAUGGUCUACAGGGGUCAGAUAUUACUACUGGUCAGUGCCAUUAUGGUCUACAGGGGACAGACAUUACUACUACUGGUCAGUACCAUUAUGGUCUACAGGGGUCAGAUAUUACUACUGGUCAGUACCAUUAUGGUCUACAGGGGACAGAUAUUACUACUGGUCAGUACCAUUAUGGUCUACAGGGGACAGAUAUUACUACUGGUCAGUACCAUUAUGGUCUACAGGGGACAGACAUACAGUCUGGAUUAUCAUCUGUAUUUUAAAAUCCCAGAUUAUUUUAUGACCCUGUUGGUUUCCACUAAUCUCCGAUCUCAGAACCAAGUCUUGUGUGUGCUGGCCAGCUAGUCGGUUGGGGUAAGUGAAUGGACGAGCUAACAUUGUAAUACAGUGUUUACUUUACUGGCCACCUCUAUCAACACAGCUUUAUAUUCACGCAAACUAAAAGGAAAGGUCUAUUAUAUAUUUCCGAUAAUAAAUGUAAUUGAAUGAAUAUGCUACAAUACCUGUGAUGGUACUGAUGGUGAAUGUUACCAAUAAUAAAGUCACCCUGCUUGAUAUACCAGGA